rnacentral:rRNA from 1 species
GUUAGAUUAGCUAGUUGGUAGGGUAAAGGCCGACCAAGGCGACGAUCUAUAGCUGGUCUGAGAGGACGAUCAGCCACACUGGGACUGAGACACGGCCCAGACUCCUACGGGAGGCAGCAGUGGGGAAUAUUGGACAAUGGGCGCAAGCCUGAUCCAGCAAUACCGCGUGUGUGAAGAAGGCCCUAGGGUUGUAAAGCACUUUCAAUGGGGAGGAAAACCUGCCGGUCAAUACCCGGUAGCUUGACAUUACCUAUAGAAGAAGCACCGGCUAACUCCGUGCCAGCAGCCGCGGUAAUACGGAGGGUGCGAGCGUUAAUCGGAAUUACUGGGCGUAAAGCGUGCGUAGGCGGUUCGUUAAGUCAGAUGUGAAAGCCCUGGGCUCAACCUGGGAACUGCAUUUGAAACUGGCGGACUAGAGUUUAGUAGAGGGGAGUGGAAUUUCAGGUGUAGCGGUGAAAUGCGUAGAUAUCUGAAGGAACACCAGUGGCGAAGGCGACUCCCUGGACUAGAACUGACGCUGAGGUACGAAAGCGUGGGUAGCAAACAGGAUUAGAUACCCUGGUAGUCCACGCCGUAAACGAUGUCAACUAGCCGUUGGUCCUAUAUACAGGAUUAGUGGCGCAGCUAACGCAUUAAGUUGACCGCCUGGGGAGUACGGCCGCAAGGUUAAAACUCAAAGGAAUUGACGG